UGUAACAAAAAGGAGCUCCCUUCGUCCAAAACGAAGAGGACAAGAUCUUAAGGAAAUCAAAAAAGAUAAAAUCUAAUUGUUCAUGGAUUCCCCAUAGAAAGUGCGUAUGUUAGCUUGAAGAAAGCGCACUUUAAGGGGUUUGCAUGGCCUUUUAGAUUUUUCUCUCUUUCUCUAUAUUUAAUCCUUCUCUUCUCUUCGUUUGGAUUGAAGGGAGCUCCUUAUCUUAUCGUU
rfam:Arabis alpina cultivar Pajares chromosome 4, whole genome shotgun sequence.